CAGUAGCCACGGGAAUACGGAGGGAGCUAGCGUUGUUUGGAAUUACUGGGCGUAAAGCGCGCGUAGGCGGUUAUUUAAGUCAGGGGUGAAAGCCCGGUGCUCAACACCGGAACAGCCCUUGAGACUGGAUAACUUGAAUCCAGGAGAGGUGAGUGGAAUUCCGAGUGUAGAGGUGAAAUUCGUAGAUAUUCGGAAGAACACCAGUGGCGAAGGCGGCUCACUGGACUGGUAUUGACGCUGAGGUGCGAAAGCGUGGGGAGCAAACAGGAUUAGAUACCCGAGUAGUCCCUGUCUCUUAUAC
rnacentral:rRNA from 1 species